UAUAGAUGACCAAGGCUGCGAAGAGAGUGUCCAGGAGAAACCAGUCAAAUCAGCAGAAUGGGUCCGCAGAUGCUGGGAUUCUAAACAGCAAUGGAGGUCACAAUUUUAUAAGAUAACAACAAAACAGUCUCUGUGAAAAUCUUGGGAGAAAUUCCAAGCAGGAGUGAGAGGGAAGAACCUUCAUCCAGUCAACAACCUGUAGCGGUAUCCGGAAUACGCACAGCACUAUGAGCUACAACAAAGCACACGGCAGCACACAGAACACAGUAAAAACCUUGGGAAGCUUGGGCUGCUCAU
ensembl:lncRNA TMEM184B-AS1 TMEM184B antisense RNA 1